ACUCCUACGGGAGGCAGCAGUGGGGAAUAUUGCACAAUGGGCGCAAGCCUGAUGCAGCAACGCCGUGUGAGUGAAGAAGGUUUUCGGAUCGUAAAACUCUGUCCUAAGGGAAGAAACAAAUGACGGUACCUUAGGAGGAACGCCCCGGCUAACUACGUGCCAGCAGCCGCGGUAAUACGGUAGGGGGCAAGCGUUAUCCGGAAUCACUGGGCGUAAAGGGUGCGUAGGCGGCUUAGCAAGCCAGGGGUGAAAGGCAUUGGCUCAACCAAUGUAAGCCUUUGGAACUGUUAAGCUUGAGUGCAGGAGAGGUAAGUGGAAUUCCUAGUGUAGAGGUGAAAUUCGUAGAUAUUAGGAGGAACACCAGUGGCGAAGGCGACUUACUGGACUGUAACUGACGCUGAUGCACGAAAGCGUGGGUAGCGAACAGGAUUAGAUACCCUGGUAGACUGUCA
rnacentral:rRNA from 1 species